ACGGAUAGCCCGAAUCAUGUCCCUGAGACGCGUGCCGGAGGAAAAGGGGUUCAUGAUUGGGUCCGCCUUGAAACUAUGAGAAAGCUCGAUCAGAUCCAGGAGUGCUGACUAUUUUAACUGUUUACGAGUAGAUUUAAUUGCAAAAUGAGAGCAGAAUCUAUCAAUGGAGAUCUGAGGAAGAUGCAAUUAAAGCAUCUGAGAAUCAAUCAGUUGCUAAUUGGGUUGAAAUUGGUCGUUUUGGAUCUGAAAAUGAACAAAACAAGAAGAAGAAAGAG
rnacentral:misc_RNA from 1 species